CUUGGUGACAAUAGCCUUGUGGAACCACCUGAUCCCAUCCCGAACUCAGAAGUGAAACGCAAACGCGCC
rnacentral:rRNA from 1 species